CGAGGCAGCUGGGAGAAAUAGCUGGGAGAUGGACCGGUCAGGCCACCUCAGGGCCUGACCUCAGGACCUGGGCUCCCCCAGGCAGCUCCCCAGUGGUAGGGAAGCCUUGAAGAACAGGAGUAGCAUCUGGGGAAGGAACCUCCCAAGUUAUUGGAUUUAUGAAUGAAGAAACGACAGAAUCACUUGGAUUGGAGAAGUGUAACUGGAUUGUUCCCACCUGCGGGGAUCACCAGGAGAACAGAAGAUGAAAGUGAAAUUCUUUCUGAAAUAAAUAUUCAAGUCCAUCACUCCACGUUUGGCCAGAAGGAAGGAAAGAGGAACGAUGGGAACAGCUUCCUUCGGCCCCAUGAGUGACCUUCAAGGCAGAAGUAGUGCCAGAAAUGGACCAGCUGCUCCAUUCCAGUUGUUUAAUAUUGGACUUCCAUCUUCCUCCACACCGGGCUGGCCUCAGCUCUGCCUCCAUCAAUUCUCCAAGGCCGUCCAAGGAGCUUCAUGAAACCAGAUGUCUGCAGACGGCUGGCGUGACCCGAGGAGGUUCACGCCUCACUGCCUUGCAGUCUGGCAUCCUCUAUCAACAUCUGCAGCCCAGGCAGGGUCUCCAGGCAGACCCCCUUCCCUGCAACUCCCAGAGGGCUUGCCUGGCUAUUCCUGGGUGGGCACCCUUCUGUGUCAGGGCCAUCGUGGUAAGCAGUGGUCUCGAUCGCAGGCUGGGGAGUCUCAACCUUCACUCCUCGUCCAGUUAGCUCUGCGAUGCUGGGAGGGAGCCCUGUCAUCCUCAGGCCUUGGUUAAUUUUCUGUAAACUGGAGAUAAAACAGGGCCUGCCUAGUAGGCACCCAACGCACCAUGCAAGAUUUAUGGCCCCUGUUCUUGAUUGACGGCAAAGCUCGGGCUCCGGGGAGGACUUGCAGUACUUUGGAGCAAGGUCCUUUUGGGUGCCCACAGUGGGGGCAGGGAAGUGGUGUUUUUACUCUCUGAUUCUGUCCUCAGAGAUGCAGGAAACUGCUGACCCAGGUCAGGUGGCUGGACCUCGCCGCUUCUGUGACAGCCUCUGCUUGUCACCCCGACAAAGGCCAGGUAUCCCCCACGCCUGCCUAUGGCUUUCCGUGGCUAUAUUAAAAUACCU